GUGCCAGCCGCCGCGGUAAUACGUAGGUGGCAAGCGUUGUCCGGAUUUAUUGGGUUUAAAGGGUGCGUAGGCGGUCUUGUAAGUCAGUGCUGAAAUAUCCCGGCUUAACCGGGAGGGUGGCAUUGAUACUGCAGGACUUGAGUGAAGUCGAGGUAGGCGGAAUUGACGGUGUAGCGGUGAAAUGCUUAGAUAUCGUCAAGAACACCGAUAGUGUAGACAGCUUACUAGGCUUUAACUGACGCUGAGGCACGAAAGUGUGGGGAUCAAACAGGAUUAGAAACCCGCGUAGUCC
rnacentral:rRNA from 1 species